CAGGGAUGUAGUUCUUGGAGGGAGAGGCUGGCCUUUGGGUGGAGCUGGGAUCAUGACAAGAGAUACAAUUGCAUAAAUGUUUUGAGGCUGAAGUCCCUGAUCAGCCACAAAGACCAGAAGC